rnacentral:tRNA from 1 species
AGUCUUAUAGUCAAAUAAUGAUAUUAAAUUGCAAGUUUAAAGUUGAAGAGAUUUUCUAAGGCUU